rnacentral:rRNA from 1 species
UGGCUCAGGACGAACGCUGGCGGCGUGCUUAACACAUGCAAGUCGAACGAUGAAGCCCUUCGGGGUGGAUUAGUGGCGAACGGGUGAGUAACACGUGGGCAAUCUGCCCUGCACUCUGGGACAAGCCCUGGAAACGGGGUCUAAUACCGGAUAUCACUCUUGCAGGCAUCUGUGAGGGUCGAAAGCUCCGGCGGUGCAGGAUGAGCCCGCGGCCUAUCAGCUUGUUGGUGAGGUAAUGGCUCACCAAGGCGACGACGGGUAGCCGGCCUGAGAGGGCGACCGGCCACACUGGGACUGAGACACGGCCCAGACUCCUACGGGAGGCAGCAGUGGGGAAUAUUGCACAAUGGGCGAAAGCCUGAUGCAGCGACGCCGCGUGA